rnacentral:ncRNA from 1 species
AAUAAAUUUUUAUGGUUUAGGUAAUUUAUUUUAAAUUUAUUUUACAUAUAAAUUUUAGUGAAUAUUUUAUUUUAAUAAUAAAAUGUUUAUUAUUAGUAGUAAUUAAUAUUAAAAAUUUAAGAAAUUAAGAUUUAGUAAUAUAAAAAUUAAAAACUAAUUUUGUGCCAGCAGUUGCGGUUAAACAAAAUUUAAAAUAAAUUUUUUUAGUUGUUAAUUUAUAAAAAAAAAAUAAAAUUAAUUAAAAAUUUAAAUUAUUAGGUGAAAUUUUAAUUUAAUAAAAAAUUAAAUUUUUAUUUAUGAUAAUUAAUAAAUUUUAAAAAAAACUAGGAUUAGAUACCCUAUUAUGAAAAAUUUAAAUUUAAAAUACUAAAAUAGUAAUUAAUUUUUUAUUGAAACUUAAAUAAAUUGGCGGUAUUUUAGUUCAUUUAGAGGAAUCUGUUUAAUAAUUGAUAUUCCACGAAUAAAUUUACUUAAUUUAAUAAUUUGUAUAUCGUUGUUAAAAAAAUAUUUUAAAAUAAUAAUAAUAUUUAAAAAUUUAAAUUUAAAAUUAAAUCAGAUCAAGAUGCAGUUUAUAAUUAAGAAUAUAAUGGAUUACAAUAAAUUUAUUUAAAUGAAUAUGAAUUUGUAAAAAUUUAUUAAAGGUGGAUUUAAAAGUAAUUUUAUUUAAUUUUUUAAAAUGAUUAAAAAUUAAAAUAUGUACAUAUUGCCCGUCACUUUCAUAUAUAAGUUGGAAUAAGUCGUAACAAAGUAGAGGUACUGGAAAGUGUUUCUAGAAUGCU